ACUAGCGUGUGAGUAAGUCCUUGAAAUCCACUGUGUAUUCUGCACUGAGCACACAGCUCAGUCUGUACCAGCUACAGUUCAAGUGACCAGAAGUCCCAUGCGGCUAGUGGCUAGUAGCUGCUGCAUUGGAAAGGCAGUUCCAGAAUGUAAUUUUUUCAACAGUUUCAUUCCUCAGAUACGAGCACCUUCAAGGUGGAUUCUUUAUCACUGCACCAUCUGGAAAGCCUGCUGUCGAUGCUGCUGCUCUCCAAACCAUUCUCUGAAUGCAAAGACUACUGCCACGUUCUGCCGGCUGUCUGCUGCACACAUUGGGGCGUUGCUCCAGGACCUUGCUUCAGUCACGUGCAUUUUCGAUUGAAUUACUCACCAAUCAUGCAUAGUCAUCUUACGUGUCCUCUGAGAGCAUGAAAUCUUUCAUCUGUAUCUUGCACAACCUUGAUCUUAUAGCAUGCCUGGUACCUAGUUACUUAAUCAGUAGUUGCUAAAUGAAUACAUGGGUGAAGAAGAGAAGAGCUUUGUCAUUCCUCCAUAACCUGUUUCUAUGGAGCUGGAUUUAUCAAUCACAUUAGGUAAACAGUACAAAUAAAUCAGUAUUAUCUGUGUUGAGUUAUUACAAAAUGUGGAAGCAUUGAGGGACGUCAACAUCGUCUUCCCUGCCCUGUGGUGGUGCUGCUCUUGAGCCACAAGAGUCAGACUGGGGACCAGUGACUUUACUCCCAGGACACAUGUCAUGAGGUCAGCUGUACCACCACCAUCUUCUCCCCCUUUCCUCUCGUUCUCCUUCAGAAGAAGGACCCGUCUCCACUCUGCAGUUCUAGAAACACUUCUUUUAAGUUAGAACGCAAAUACCAAGGAGUUGUGUGUGCGUGCUUAGUUGCUCAGUUCAGGGUAAAUAAAUAAUCCUGAGGAUUUCCAUUUUCUAAAGAGUCCUGAUACUGCCCUCUCUGCACAUUUUGACCAGUGGCUUUGGCUUUUUGCCAGGCUUCUCUGUCCAUGGACUUCUCCAGGCAAGGAUACUGGAGUGGGUAGCCAUUCCCUUCUCUAGGCAGUCUUCCCAACCCAGGGAUGGAACCUGGGUCUCCUGCAUUGCAGGCAGAUUCUUUACCAUCUGAGCCAUGAGGGAAACCCCAGCUUUACGAAACCAGAUAACAUUUUGGCAAUGUCAGAGCCAGCUGGCCCCCAAGAGUCUGUUACCAUGGCAAACAGUGAGGUCACAUAAGGAUUACCCACUUGACCCGAGCUUGUUAUGUCUAGACACUCAUGCUGAGGGCGACAUCACCCAGGAAUUCAGGGACUCUGUAGGCCUGCCCUCGUUUCUGGUUUGUCACAUUUUCCUCCAGCCUCCUGGAAACCCCAAACAGGAUUUCCAGCUCCUUUCAGAUUCCUGUCUGGCAUUUCCUCGCUCUCUGCUCUCCUGGGGACAGGACUGCUUUUGGCAGACAGACGCUACCCCUCCCUCCCCCAAUCCAGGAAGGGCCCUGGCCUCUAUGACAGCAAAUCCAUUGCACCACUUAGGUUUAAUUAGAGCACAAUGACGGAUGAUUAGUUUACACAUCAAAGCACUGAAACAACUUGACAAAUUGGCCCCAUCCCAAAGCCCAGCGCGGGAGCUGGCCUUGAACUCAGAGGCUCUGCCCUUGGGGGCCGCGGAGGUGGUGAUGAAAGCUCGGGAGCCCCAGGCAGGGGCGCACAGAAGGAGUUCUGUUUCUCAAGAGAAGAAAUGCAUCCCAGCUGUUGCCAGCCCUGAUUGUGCCUCUGCAUCUCCCUCACCUUGACUUUCCUCCUCCUGGCUCUCCCCCGGCUGCUGCUCAAAGUUCAUGUGUGGUAGGCUCGAAGUUCAUGUGUGGUAGGCUCUCAGUACUUUGGAGACAGAUAAUCAUGAGUUACCCAAGCCCUUUGCUAGUUCUCUUUUUUCACCCUGUUUACCCUCCAAGUGGGAUUUGGAGUGUUCAAUUAGGAAACCUACCAAGGAAGGAGAGAGAGACAAAAUUCAUCUUCAAACCAGCCACUUGGUUACCAACUGAUGAUUUUUUUGUUGGCAAACUAAUGGAGGAAAGAGAAACUAUAGACUGCAAUGAAGUAAAGGAAUUAUUUCUAGGUCUCCUUUCUGUACGCUCUCUGUGUAUGACCUGAAGUCAGGUGAACCCAGGAGAGCACGUGGCAUUAGACUGUUUCCGAGGUUUAUCACAUAUUUCAGAUCUCUGAUUGUCAUGCUGGGUCCCAGAGAGGUUGAUGGUGUGUUGGAAGCCGUUCGGGUUCUUCUGGCUCAAAAGACCAGUCUGUUCAUACUAACAAUCACUUAAUUCAGCGAUUAAACCAACAAAAAAACCCUAAACGUCCACCCAGUAGUUGAACUGAAUUCACCCUCUCACUUGGUCUACACUCAUAGCCUCAUGGAAGAACAAUUGGUGUGUCCUGCUUCAGAGUCAUCUCAUCAAAGUCAAUGGCAGAGCAGAGACUUGAAUCAAGGUCUUCCUCCGUAGCCCUUAUCCCCUCAGGACUACGUGAUCUUUCCAGUGGUCGGAAGGAUACAGGGCGGAGGUCACAUAAACAUCGCACGGAGCGCGAAGGCUCAGGCCUCUCUCCUGAACAAUUGAUGGAGACGCAGUGCAUGGUGGGAUUCUUGUUUCCUCGCUGUGGGCCUCGGGUGUGAGCGGACAUCAGCCUCAGCCCCGUGAUGUGGGCAGACAGAUGAAUGCUGACUGCCGGUAGCACUGGACAGUCAGUGGGCGGGAGCUGGGUUCAGACUGCUGUAAGCGGAGCACUUCAGAAGGAGGAUGACACGGCAUUAUUACCAUAAACCAGGAGCCUAUUGAUCGGGCUGAUUAGAAAACCUUCCAAGGCACGGGGGUAAUUAGCACAAUUUACAGCGUAGCAGUUAUCAGCUUCAUUGCUUAAUUAACAAUGUAAAUAUCUUCCUAAAUGACAUUUUAUAAUCAUGAUCAGACCCUCUAGCGUUUGCCCUGUUCACUGCUUAAUUCCUUCCCAGAUGUACAGAUAGCCAGCCGCCUAACAUACCGUUGCUGCAUCUUAUAAGAUAAAACAAUUGUUCUCGCCCCGCGUCUCCUCUUUUGGAUUUUACUGGGG
ensembl:lncRNA